AUUCCAUCAUCAGGCGUAGUGCACUGACAGCAGCCAGCCUACGCGAAGUAAUACCUUACGGUGGUUCCGCGGAGGAGAGUCGUCAACGAAAUGUGUGUAAGGGGUAGGUUUAGUACGUAGGCACCAUGGAUGGUGAAUCAUGCAUGCUACUGGCACGGGCCGGUAGUAUCUUUGGAAGAUUCCAAACUCCAGC
rfam:Glossina brevipalpis unplaced genomic scaffold Scaffold1, whole genome shotgun sequence.